rnacentral:tRNA from 1 species
GCGGCGGUACCCAAGCCAGGACUAAGGGGCGGGCCUUGAGAGCCCGUGGCCUUUUACAGGCCUCGAGGGUUCAAAUCCCUCCCGCCGCG